rnacentral:rRNA from 1 species
GAUGAACGCUGGCGGCGUGCCUAAUACAUGCAAGUCGAGCGAACGGACGAGAAGCUUGCUUCUCUGAUGUUAGCGGCGGACGGGUGAGUAACACGUGGAUAACCUACCUAUAAGACUGGGAUAACUUCGGGAAACCGGAGCUAAUACCGGAUAAUAUUUUGAACCGCAUGGUUCAAAAGUGAAAGACGGUCUUGCUGUCACUUAUAGAUGGAUCCGCGCUGCAUUAGCUAGUUGGUAAGGUAACGGCUUACCAAGGCAACGAUGCAUAGCCGACCUGAGAGGGUGAUCGGCCACACUGGAACUGAGGCACGGUCCAGACUCCUACGGGAGGCAGCAGUAGGGAAUCUUCCGCAAUGGGCGAAAGCCUGACGGAGCAACGCCGCGUGAGUGAUGAAGGUCUUCGGAUCGUAAAACUCUGUUAUUAGGGAAGAACAUAUGUGUAAGUAACUGUGCACAUCUUGACAGUACCUAAUCAGAAAGCCACGGCUAACUACGUG